rnacentral:rRNA from 1 species
GACGGAAGGUGCAAGCGUUGCUCGGAAUCACUGGGCGUAAAGGGUGCGUAGGCGGCCGUGCAAGUCUGGCGUGAAAGCCCCGGGCUCAGCCCGGGAAGUGCGCUCGAAACUGCGCGGCUCGAGUGCCGGAGGGGAGAGUGGAAUUCCUGGUGUAGCGGUGAAAUGCGUAGAUAUCAGGAGGGACACCGGUGGCGAAGGCGGGUCUCUGGGCCGUAACUGACGCUGAGGAGCGAAAGCAUGGAGAGCGAACAGG